rnacentral:rRNA from 1 species
UACGAAGGGGGCAAGCGUUGUUCGGAAUUAUUGGGCGUAAAGAGCGCGUAGGCGGUUUGACAAGUCUGAUGUGAAAUCCCCGGGCUUAACCUGGGAACUGCGUUUGAAACUACAAGGCUAGAGUGUGGCAGAGGGGGGUGGAAUUCCACGUGUAGCAGUGAAAUGCGUAGAGAUGUGGAGGAACACCGAUGGCGAAGGCAAUCCCCUGGGCCUGCACUGACGCUCAUGCACGAAAGCGUGGGGAGCAAACAGG